UAAAUGUUCGAUCUUGAAAAAUAAAAGUGCAAGUAUUUCAAGUGAAUGAAUUAAUGAUAUUUAAAUCAUUGCUUGAAACAAUAACGUUAUCUAUAGCACACAUAAAUUAUCCAUCAGGGAAAAAAACUCAAUAUUUGUAGAACUUGCGAAGAAUAACACAGCGGUGAUAUAUAACGUAUUUCGUGCACGAAGUCCUCGCAUUGGGGAGUUAUUCACGUUGAAAAACGGAAAGCUGUAGAAAAACAAGCGCCUUCAACAAUGAAAUUCUUCGCCGUUUGUUUAUUCGUAAUGCUCCUGGCAGUCGCUACGACGGCCCAGCAGUGUCGACAUGUCGGCAGAUGGUGUACAUCGAGUGAACAAUGCUGUACGGCCUAUUGUCGCGACAAUCGUUGCCUCCGUUGGGGAAUAAUUCCAUCUGAAAGAGGUCGCCAUAACCCGUGCUCCCUGGUCAGAUGCGCAUAUGGACCAUGCGUAGUUCAGCAGGUUCGAUGUCCCAACAGGCCAGGCUGCCCUGGAGUGGCGAGAUGCACCAAUCGUGUAGUGCAAUAAUUUCAUGAAGUACUGAUUGAGAAUGUAAAAAUGUACAAAAAAAUCGACGAAUAGUGUUUACAAUAUAUUAUUCUAAUUAAAAAAUCAUGAAACGAAA